rnacentral:rRNA from 1 species
CUGCCUUAAACAGAGGGAUAGCAAGUGGAAACGCUUGUUAAUACCACAUAAAGCCUAAGCAUUGCAUAAUGAAUAGGUGAAAGGAGGAAUCCGGUUUAAGAUGGGCCCGCGUCCAAUUAGCUAGUUGGUGAGGUAAGAGCGCACCAAGGCGACGAUUGGUAGACGAACUGAGAGGUUGAGCGGACACAUUGGGACUGACAUACGGCCCAGACUCCUACGGGAGGCAGCAGUGGGGAAUAUUGCGCAAUGGGGGGAACCCUGACGCAUCGACGCCGCGUGAAGGAAGAAGGUCUUCGGAUUGUAAACUUCUUUGAUUAGGGAAGAGGAAGGACAGUACCUAAAGAACAAGCCACGGCUAACUACGUGCCAGCAGCCGCGGAAAUACGUAGGUGGCAAGCGUUGUCCGGAAUUACUGGGUGUAAAGGGCGAGUAGGUGGAUCACUAAGUCAGAGGUGAAAACCCAUGGCUAAACUGUGGGAUAGCAACUGAAACUAGAGAUCUUGAGUACUGGAGAGGGAAGCGGAAUUCCUAGUGUAGCGGUGAAAUGCGUAGAUAUUAGGAGGAACACCAGUGGUGAAGGCGGCUUCCUGGACAGUGACUGACACUGAGGCGCGAAAGCGUGGGGAGCGAACAGGAUUAGAUACCCUGGUAGUCCACGCUGUAAUCGAUGGAUACUAGGUGUAGGUGGUAAGAAACCAUCUGUGCCGGAGUAAACACAAUAAGUAUCCCACCUGGGGAGUACAGCCGCAAGGUUGAAACUCAAAGGAAUUGACGGGGGCCCGCACAAGCAGUGGAGUAUGUGGUUUAAUUCGAAGCAACGCGAAGAACCUUACCAGGGCUUGACAUCCCUUGAACUAUCUAGAGAUAGGUAGGGCCUACGGGACAAGGAGACAGGUGGUGCAUGGUUGUCGUCAGCUCGUGUCGUGAGAUGUUGGGUUAAGUCCCGCAACGAGCGCAACCCUUAUAGCUAGUUGCCAGCAAUAAGAUGGGGACUCUAGCGAGACAGCCGUUGAGAAAACGGAGGAAGGAAAGGAUGACGUCAAAUCAUCAUGCCCCUUAUGCUCUGGGCUACACACGUACUACAAUGGCUACUAUCAGAGGGAAGCGAAGCCAGGAGGCGGAGCAAAUCUCAAAAAA